UGACGUGACUUCUACAUAGUACCCAGA
rnacentral:piRNA from 1 species